UAAAGGGCAGACCGACAGCUUUUCUUAAAGGGCAUCUUUAUACACACUGAUUUCACCAUUACAGAAAUUACAGCAUUUAAAAAAAAUACAUAGUACCCCCAUUUCAGAGCUCCAUAAUGGCUUCACAGGUGUUUCCGAUUAGCCAGGUGUGUUUAAGUGCUUCCUUAGUGCAGGUAUAAGACAGCUUUUCAGCAUCUCGUCUUGAAACCGGGCUUUUGGUCGCCUUCGGAGUCGGUUAUCGGCAUGUCAACAUGAAGACCAGAGUUGCGUGAAUGAAAGUCACGUACGCCACGAGAGGCCGAGAAACAAGACUCUCUCAGAGACAUAAGCCGAACCGUAGGCGUGCCAAAAUCAACUGUAGGCGGCAAGCACUGGUGAACUCUGUAAUUGCAAAGGGCCUGGUAGACCAAGGAAGACGUCUCCAGGACACGGCACGGUUGUGCAAGAAGUGCUGUGAUUUCUCCGUGGUGAAACCGAAGUGUAAAAAAAAAAAAAAAUACUCUGCACGUCAACCACAUGUGGAUUUCCUGAUUAUGAGUCUAGAGCUGCAGAGUACAAUGCAAAAAAAAAAAAAAAAACUUUGUCCCAAACAUUAUGGAGCUCACUGUAUGGCUAAAAAUCAUACGUCAUACUAGGGACAUUUUCGACAAGAGAGAACAUCAUUAUUAAACUGGUUAGUGUCACUGGCGGCAGUGCAGUAUAAUGGUGUCGUAAUCUAAAAGUUCGAUUCCCAUUGUACCCUUGAGCAAGAGUCAGGUCACAGGUGAAGCUGUAAAAGAGUUUCACUACCUGAAUUUUGCCGAACUGCUAUGGCGGGGAUUCGGCACACUGAGCCAGCUAACUACAAUAGAGCUCAGAGACAACCCAGGCAACAAGACUUCUGCUUCUGCUUUCGGUUUUAUGUGGAACCGAAAUUUCCCACCAUUGUUCGCCAGAUUCAGGAAUUUCCCUUUAGAUUGCACCGUGCCGGACCAAAGUUAGCUUAAUUUCCUUUUGCCUUCUCGCAACAUUGUUUAUUAAAAACUAAAGAAAAUGUA